UACGUAGGGGGCAAGCGUUGUCCGGAAUCAUUGGGCGUAAAGCGCGUGUAGGCGGCCCGAUAAGUCCGCUGUGAAAGUCCAGGGCUCAACCCUGGGAUGCCGGUGGAUACUGUCGGGCUCGAGUCCGGAAGAGGCGAGUGGAAUUCCUGGUGUAGCGGUGAAAUGCGCAGAUAUCAGGAGGAACACCAAUGGCGAAGGCAGCUCGCUGGGACGUGACUGACGCUGAGACGCGAAAGCCAGGGAGGCGAACGGG
rnacentral:rRNA from 1 species